UCCGAUUUGUCACCGGCGGUCUCCCUAGAGUGCCCAACUGAAUGAUGGCAACUAAAGGCGAGGGUUGCGCUCGUUGCGGGACUUAACCCAACAUCUCACGACACGAGCUGACGACAGCCAUGCAGCACCUGUCUCCGCGCCUCUUGCGAGGACCACCCAUCUCUGGGCUUAGCACGGGAUGUCAAGGCCUGGUAAGGUUCUGCGCGUUGCGUCGAAUUAAACCACAUGCUCCACUGCUUGUGCGGGUCCCCGUCAAUUCUUUUGAGUUUCACCCUUGCGGGCGUACUUCCCAGGCGGCAUACUUAACGCGUUCGCUACGGCACAACCGGGGUUGAGUCCGGUUACACCAAGUAUGCAUCGUUUACGGCUAGGACUAC
rnacentral:misc_RNA from 1 species